UACAGAGGUCCCGAGCGUUGUUCGGAUUCACUGGGCGUAAAGGGUGCGUAGGUGGCGAUGAAAGUUCGAUGUGAAAUCUCUGGGCUUAACCCGGAAAAGGCAUUGAAAACUAUGUUGCUUGAGGUUUGGAGGGGGGACUGGAAUUCUUGGUGUAGCAGUGAAAUGCGUAGAUAUCAAGAGGAACACCAGUGGCGAAGGCGGGUCCCUGGACAACACCUGACACUGAGGCACGAAAGCUAGGGGAGCAAACAGG
rnacentral:rRNA from 1 species